AUUGAACGCUGGCGGCAGGCCUAACACAUGCAAGUCGAGCGGUAGAGAGGUGCUUGCACCUCUUGAGAGCGGCGGACGGGUGAGUAAUGCCUAGGAAUCUGCCUGGUAGUGGGGGAUAACGCUCGGAAACGGACGCUAAUACCCUAUACGUCCCACGGGCGAAUGCAGGUGACCUUCGGGCCUUGCCCUAUCAUAUGAGCCUUGGUCGGAAUAGCUGGUUGGUGGGGUAAUGGCUCACCAAGGCGACGAGCGGUAACUGGUCUGUGAAGAUGGAUCAGGCACACUCGAACUGUGACAAGGUCCUGACUCCGACGGGAGGCAGUAGUGGGGAAUAUUGGACAAUGGGCGAAAGCCUGAUCCAGCCAUGCCGCGUGUGUGAAGAAGGUCUUCGGAUUGUAAAGCACUUUAAGUUGGGAGGAAGGGUCGUUACCUAAUACGUGACGAUUUUGACGUUACCGACAGAAUAAGCACCGGCUAACUCUGUGCCAGCCGCCGCGGUAAGAC
rnacentral:rRNA from 1 species